GCCACGACAACCCAACUCAGUCCAAACCAUGAAAUUGCCAGGCCCAAUUUUGAUCAACGGCGGCGGCGGCGCUCCAACCCUCCAAGCCCUCCCUACUCCGCCGCCGCAUCUCCCACACCACCGAGGAGCCACGAUAGAGCUCCCGGGGGCGGCCGCACUCCCGUGCCUGGCGGCGUUCUUUACUCCCUUUCCCUUUCUCUAUUCCAUCCCCUUCCUCUCUGGCAAGGAGCUGUCCUCCUCCACCAUUCCCUUUCAGAUCCGGAGGGGGCGGCGUCUCCGACGAGCUCCUCGAGCUCCGGCCCAUGGGGAGCAGCGGUGGGGCAUGGACAGCGCGGUUAGCGGCACGACGGCGGCCUAGGCGAGCACCGUCUACGGGCGCGACGGCGGAGGACGAGCUCAGCUGCCGCGUCGCACCUCCCUGUUAGAGGUUGAGCUCCAUGGCUGCCUCGGCCCCUUCCCGGCUUUUGUGGCGCCGUUGCUUGCCUCCUCAUCUCUGGACCCGGCAUGAGUGGUGAGGGGUUGGACUGGAGGUAGCAGGCACACGCACUGAAUGGCCAGAGACCUAGUUCUACAGAUCUGUGCGACUGGAUAAUCUCAGCAUGUUGUCUUGGAAUCAACAAGUGAGUAAGCGACGGCGUUGCAGUAGAUGGCCGCUGCAGCUAUGCUCUCGAUAGUGGACCAGUAAGGCAGCAAUCAGCAGUGGAAACCAUUCAUCUACGUGGCGGUGCCAGUUGCUUUUGAAAACAGAAUAGCAGUAGGUAAUUUCAUCUUUUGAAGUGUUGUGCCUUCGCAUACACUUAGUAGGUUGGUAGGAGAUACAUUUGGGAUGGCACGUGACAGUUGGGUUCAUGCGAAACAUUUGGACAUAAUCUAUGUAUAUGCUGUAUGCAUGGUUCUUACGGCCGUAAGGCGAGGCGUGGCGAGUCACCACCGCCCAACCGCCUAGGCGGGCUAAGGCGAUGCCUUAGGCCAAAACAAGGGGAGUGCCUUGUCGCCUAGGCAACGCCAUCAAAACCAUGGCUGUAUGUAAUGGUCGACCUCUGAUGUCUUGAUAGUUCAGCUAUAAUUGUAUGAUAAGCUGCACAAUGUGUCACAAAUGGACCAUUUUGUGCACGAUUCAGAUUUAAUUUGAAUUUUGUUUCUUGAAAA